rnacentral:rRNA from 1 species
UUCGCAAUGCCCGAAAGGGUGACGAAGCGACGCCGCGUGGGUGAGGAAGGCCUUCGGGUUGUAAAGCCCUGUCAGGAGUUAAGAAAUGUAAGUGCGCUAAUAUCGCAUUUAUUUGACGAAGGCUCCAAAGGAAGUCACGGCUAACUCUGUGCCAGCAGCCGCGGUAAUACAGAGGUGGCAAGCGUUGUUCGGAAUUAUUGGGCGUAAAGAGCACGUAGGUGGGUUUGUAAGUCAGAUGUGAAAGCCUUCUGUUCAACGGAAGAAUUGCAUCUGAAACUGCGAGUCUUGAGUGUAGGAGGGGAGAAUGGAACUUCUGGUGGAGCGGUGAAAUGCGUAGAUAUCAGAAGGAACGCCGGCGGCGAAAGCGAUUCUCUGGCCUAUUACUGACACUCAGUGUGCGAAAGCUAGGGGAGCAAACGGGAUUAGAUACCCCGGUAGUCCUAGCCGUAAACGAUGGGCACUAAGUAGAGGGGUUUUA